rnacentral:rRNA from 1 species
UCGAGGGGCAGCAGGUCUGUAGCAAUACAGGCGCUGGCGACCGGCAAACGGGUGCGGAACACGUACACAACCUUCCUCUAAGUGGGGGAUAGCCCGGGGAAACCCGGAUUAAUACCCCGUAAUAUAAUGAAGUGGCAUCGCUUUAUUAUUAUAGCAGCAAUGCGCUUUAAGAUGGGUGUGCGACUGAUUAGGCAGUUGGCGGGGUAACGGCCCACCAAACCUACGAUCAGUAACUGGUGUGAGAGCACGACCAGUCACACGGGCACUGAGACACGGGCCCGACUCCUACGGGAGGCAGCAGUAAGGAAUAUUGGUCAAUGGACGCAAGUCUGAACCAGCCAUGCCGCGUGGAGGAUGAAGGUCCUCUGGAUUGUAAACUUCUUUUAUCUGGGAAGAAAUCCAUGAAUUCUUUUGUGGUUGACGGUACCAGAUGAAUAAGCACCGGCUAACUCCGUGCCAGCAGCCGCGGUAAUACGGAGGGUGCAAGCGUUAUCCGGAUUCACUGGGUUUAAAGGGUGCGUAGGUGGGUUGGUAAGUCAGUGGUGAAACCUCCAGGCUUAACUUGGAAACUGCCAUUGAUACUAUCAAUCUUGAAUACCGUGGAGGUCAGCGGAAUAUGUCAUGUAGCGGUGAAAUGCUUAGAUAUGACAUAGAACACCAAUUGCGAAGGCAGCUGGCUACACGAAUAUUGACACUGAUGCACGAAAGCGUGGGGAUCAAACAGGAUUAGAUACCCUGGUAGUCCACGCCCUAAACGAUGGAUACUCGACAUACGCGAUAUACUGUGUGUGUCUGAGCGAAAGCAU